UACGUAGGGUGCAAGCGUUGUCCGGAAUUAUUGGGCGUAAAGAGCUCGUAGGCGGCUUGUCACGUCGGGUGUGAAAGCCCGGGGCUUAACCCCGGGUCUGCAUUCGAUACGGGCUAGCUAGAGUGUGGUAGGGGCAACUGGAAUUCUUGGUGUAGCGGUGAAAUGCGCAGAUAUCAGGAGGAACACCGGUGGCGAAGGCGGGGUCUCUGGGCAGUAACUGACGCUGAGGAGCGAAAGCGUGGGGAGCGAACAGG
rnacentral:rRNA from 1 species